rnacentral:lncRNA from 1 species
AUUAGCUUGGAUCCUAAUCUAUAUAUAUUAUUCUACAAGAUAAUUUCAAAAAAUCUAAGGGAUAUAACUUUUACCUUGCUAAAGAAUAAAAAUUGUUCUUCAUUUUUUUCAAGAAAAAGAGUACUUUGGUGAAGGUACUGAUGUUUUUAAUAUGAAACUUAUGAAGUUAAAUAGAUAGAAGAACUGACACAAUCUAGUGAACCCAUAGAACUAAAUUUGAUC